rnacentral:rRNA from 1 species
GCGAUCAUACCCGCACUAAUGCAUCGGAUCCCAUCAGAACUCUGAAAUUAAGUAUGCUUGGGCGAGUGCAGUACUAGGAUGGGUAACCCCCUGGGAAGUUCUCGUGUUGCACCU